rnacentral:rRNA from 1 species
UACGUAGGCGGAAAAUUAAGUCAGUAGUGAAAUCCUGCAGCUUAACUGUAGAACUGCCUUUGAUACUGUUGAUCUUGAGUCAUUAUGAAGUGGUUAGAAUGUGUAGUGUAGCGGUGAAAUGCAUAGAUAUUACACAGAAUACCGAUUGCGAAGGCAGAUCACUAAUAAUGUACUGACACUGAGGGACGAAAGCGUGGGGAGCGAACAGGAUUAGAUACCCUGGUAGUCC